rnacentral:rRNA from 1 species
UACGUAGGGUGCAAGCGUUGUCCGGAAUCAUUGGGCGUAAAGCGCGUGUAGGCGGUUCGAUAAGUCUGCUGUGAAAGUCCAGGGCUCAACCCUGGGAUGCCGGUGGAUACUGUCGGACUAGAGUACGGUAGGGGAGACUGGAAUUCCUGGUGUAGCGGUGAAAUGCGCAGAUAUCAGGAGGAACACCGGUGGCGAAGGCGGGUCUCUGGGCCGAUACUGACGCUGAGGAGCGAAAGCGUGGGGAGCGAACAGG